GCUCUGAUGGCCUAGUGGUUGGAGCGUUCGCCUCGGAUGCGGGUGGUCGUGGGUUCGAUCCCCGGUCGAUUAAUACC